rnacentral:rRNA from 1 species
CGACCGGCAAACGGGUGCGGAACACGUACGCAACCUACCCAUAACUGGGGGAUAGCCCGGGGAAACCCGGAUUAAUACCUCGUAACAUAAUGAAGUGGCAUCACUUUAUUAUUAUAGCUCAGGCGGUUAUGGACGGGCGUGCGGCUGAUUAGGUAGUUGGCGGAGUAAUAGCCCACCAAGCCUGCGAUCAGUAACUGGUGUGAGAGCACGACCAGUCACACGGGGACUGAGACACGGGCCCG